CUUGUUGCUCUUACAGAGAACCUGGAUUCAAUUCCCACCACUCACUCAUAUGGUGGCUCACAACCAUCCAUAACUCCAGUUCCAGGGGACCCCUCUUCUGAACUCCAUGGGCACUGGGUAUGAAUGUGGUGCUUAUAAUACUCUUACUUACAAAAUAAAUGCAUCUUUAAAAAACAAACAGUUAAGCCAGGUGGUGGCAGCGGUACAUGUGUUUAAUCCCAGCAAUUAAAAGACUGCUUGUGAAAAAUGUAUUUCUACCAGGUGUCGUGGAUUGGAGGAGAAUUGGGACUUCAGGGCCAGCUUAGGCUAUGUAUCGUGACUGUGGCUCAAAAGCAGAAAGGAAAGAAGGAAAUGAAAUUGUAUUUAGUUUUGUGCACUAGGAGAGGGUAUUUUCAUACUUUCCUUGGUUUUAUUCUAAUAAAACAAAGAUACUUUUGUUCAGAGGUCGGAAACUGCUACUCAGUCGUUGCUGCUGCUGCUUCCUCCUUCUCUCUUCCUCCUCCCCCUUCUCUUCUUCUUUUUUUGAGAGCUUCUUAAGGAUUUGAGCCUGACUGGCUUCAAACUCAUGAUCUUCAUGCCUCAGUCUCCCAAGUGAUGAGAGGAUAGCUGUGUGCCACCAUGCCUGCCUGUCUGUUUACACUCAUUUAGAGAUGAUUGUUUUCCUUUGUGUAGCGAGAGAUAACUGAAGACCAGGGAAGAAACCCUACAACUUUCUUCAGUAGUCUGCUGCUGUGUUUAAUGAAACUUACCCACCCUCGCUAACAGGAAAGUUCAUUAAAACUUCCCAAGACUUUGGUUUGCUCUUGGUGUUUGUGGUAAAGAUAGCUUGGGCUUUCUCACUCUGGAAAGGCAGUGUGGUGUCCAGGUCCACAGCUCAGUCUCUGAGUCAUGCUGCCUGCUAAGUAGCCAGGUCAUACUGUUUAGACUUUGUGCCUUUUCCUCAAUGCCUGGACAGAAAGUGCCCAUCUCAGAAUUGCUGGAAAGAUAAAAUGAUUUUAUAAGUACAGUGUACAUGAAACAGUCCAUGUCACCAAAUGAGUGUCCAUUGAAUGUUAGCUGAUAAAAAUUAGUAAUUUUUUCCCCUUUGAGACAGUGUAGUUGUCACUGUAUAGUUCUAACUGCCCUGGAACUCACUUUGUACACCAGACUGCCUUGAACUCACAGAGAUCCGACUGCCUCAGUCUCCAAGUGCUAGGAUUAAAGGCAUGCACCACCACCGCCCAGCCUGCUCUUUUGCUUUUAAAAAACAAUUCUUUAAUGAACCUGAAAGUAAAUUUGUUUUUCUUUUUUAUUGUAUGUGUGUGAAUGCUGUGUGGCACACAAACAGGUAAGAGGACAGUUUGUGGGAGUGUUUUAUCUCCUUCCCCCUUGGUUUCUAAGGGCACAGAACUCAGGCCAUGAAUCUUAUCAACAAACACUUUUACCCACCAAGCCAUCUUGUUGGCAGAGAUUCAUUUGUUCAUUUAACAAACAUUUGUUAUAGUACUGGCCCAUAUACUAUAUACUACACAAAUAAAGUGCUGCCCAGAAGAGGUAGGCUUGUACAAUCAUGUUAUUGAGCGUGUGCUUUAAAGGAGGUGUGAACAAAGACCCCUGAAGCACAGAAUAGAGUCUGGCCACAAUUCAGAAGAUGAAGUGAAGCUUGGCUACUGCAGAAGUUUAAUCUGCACACUGGCCUCAGGGUUCUACAGCUUGACAUUUUUUCAAUUCUUCCUUUAAUAUAAUAACAACAGAUUCUGUGAUCAGUUUGAAAGGCAAUUGAAAUGGCUUUGUCUCCUUAGAACAUGGCUCACCUUUUCACUUUCUUAUUCCAAAUAAUUUAAACGUGGUUUAAAGAAACAUGUUCAUAAUAGACAAAUUCUACUAAACUAGCAACUAAAAUGUAUUGGAACCCUCACACUCUGCCUCAAUUUCUCCAUGAGGAAAAAGUCUUUAGUUCAAACCUUUAAAGCUAAAAAAUAAAAAAAUAUGAUUAGUGUCCUACUGUGAUGUACAAUGGCUUAGAAAGUGACUUUUGAUAAAAUCCUAAUCGUAUGUUUUUUCUUUAUGGUAAAAUCAAUAAAGUAUUUGAGUUGGGAAAGGUUAAACAAAAGACUGGUCCUUUGCUGAUAGAAUGUUCUUUCUGCAUGUUAGUGGCAUGUAUGUUAGCAGCAUGCUCCUGCCUCAUGCUCUGUGUCAUGGUCUCUAUAAAACCAUAAAAGAGAAAAAAGAAAAUAAGAGUGUAUGCUGUAAAAUAACUAGAACUUUAAAACCACAUUUGUGGAUUUUUUUUUUUCUUUAUUUAGUUUUUGUUUUUGAGACAGGGUUUCUCAAUGUUGCAGGUCUGGCUGUCCUGGAACUCGAUUUGUGGAUCAGGCUGGCCUCGAACUCAAAGGUCCGCCUGCCUGACUCCUGAAUGCUAGGAUUAAAGGCGUGUGUCACCACUGCCCAGCUAAUAUUUGUGUUUUUAUUGUAUUGUUACACAAUAAAGGAGAGGUUCGAAUCUUGUGACAAGGAGGCAUAUACCAUGUGAAUGAGCAGCAUUUGUGCAUCCCUUGUAAAGGUUCUCGGUUCCCUCCCACCCUUCCACGUCCUGCCGUGGCCAUACUAUCCUUUAAGCUUCCUUAUUGUCAGACUUCGACAGAGAAAGGCCAAAUGGAGGAACAAUUUUGGCAUUCGGUCCUGUUUCACAACUACCUUGAUUACUUGGCUAAAAAUGGUUAUGAUUAUGAGGAGAACAUUAAAAAUCAGGCAGUAAAAGAGCAGCAAGAACUUUUGAUGAAAAUGCUUGCGGUGAGUAAAAUGUGCUGAAAAAAUUAGUGUUUAAUUAUUUUCUUAGGUUGAAAUCUUUUUUCUUUAAAAUGGGGUCUCUCUAUAUAGCCCUGGCUGUCCUGGAACUUGCUCUAUAGACCAGUCUGGCUUCAGACUGAGGGAGCCAAUAGCUCUAGGUGGAAUUUCUUAAAAGAUCUGUAAAUAAAUGCUAAAUUCUAUCAUCUAGGAUUCAUAGAUUGUACCUUUUCCCUUCAAGUUUCUCCCACUUGAUGACACAGUUAAAAUAUUUGAAAUAUUUCCCUGUAGUUAGAGUUGGCCUUCCUGGUGCUGUGCUCCAGUAGGUACUCUAGGUGACUUGCAUGUCUGAGAGCCAUUGUUGUGACUCCUGCUUGUCUACACCAUAAAAUUAGGUGUAGACUGUUCUAGGGUUGGACAAUUUUAAGAUGUCCUUGGCGUUUGGGUUUCCGAGCCUUUUGUCCUCACCAGUGGCCAGGUUUGGUGUCUUGGGUUCUUCACUACUUUAUUUUUGGCAGGGUCUCUUAAGGUUUGUUGUCCUCGAU